CGGUGCCCUGGGGCUGAGUCUACCUCCCAGGAGAGAACCGUGACUAAGCCGACUUAUGAGGCAGAAGAAUAGCAUGGAGACUAUGAUGGGGAAAGCCCUGUGGGAAGGCUGCAAAGUGAUCAUAUGAAAAGAACAGGUUGACAAAAUAGGAGGCUGAAGGGUUUGCAAAGGCGGUGGCUCUUCUGGGACGUGUCACUUGUGGUUACUGCUCCUGCAGUUGAUGUCUGUGACGGCUUUUGCCCACUGCUGGCGUUUCCAUCUCUGCCAUCACUGCUGUCGCGGGACAGCUACCACAGUCUCUACUGUCACUUAGCUGCCACACCUUCUGUCUUUGCCAUGGCCUCUUCACUUCGUGUUACCAGCUCAGCCCACUUGAUUCAUGACGAAUCAAACUAAGCAAGAAAAAAGAGCGCUCAGGAGAAGGCUCACUUUGCAGCAACAGCGGCAGCGGCAGGCAGGAGGAUAGGCUUUGUUAUAAAAAAGAGAUCUUCAUGGCCACAGGCAGCUGUCCAUGAUCAGGCCUUGAAAUGAGAGAGGAUUAGAAGAAAGGGAACACCAUACCAAAGGCAGCAUGGUACAAGCCUUAAAGGGAGAGACUCCAGUUCUGAAGAACAAAGAAGUCUUCUGAGUCAAGGAAGACUGACCCUGUGUGGAAUGGCCAAAAUAGAAAAAAUGAAGUUAAUUGCCUGUUCCCUAAGUUUACACCGCCUAGACGGCAUGUGUGGACAUGAAAGUCCAUGUGGAACAAUUGGAUACAUCGAGACAACUAAGGUAAGACCUGGAGGAUUCCUGAAGGGUGUGGGACUGCAAGAGCUCCCUAUCCCCGGAAUGUGCAGCCUGAUGGGGUAUGGCCCGUUUAUACUGAGAGUAUAAGGUAAAGUGGGUCAUUUCACACACACACAAAGGGCGGCUGCCUUUCUGUCUGACAAGUUUGAAGACACAGGGGAGAAAAAGAAAGAAAAAUGAAAAGCAGAGAGUGAUGAAGAUUUGUGCUGAGCUCACCUUCUCCUCAAGACCAGGAUCCCAAUCGAGGAACAGGGCAGCCCACAGUGGCCACCUCUUCUCAGCUCAGUUCACCUAAGCAAGGCAAUCUGUCUUGGCCAUGCCCCACAGGCUGCCUCUGGUGUGGUUCUAGAGCUUUUCAAGUUCCACAACGGAGAUUAACCACCACCCUGCCACCAGCUUUCAAUCAGUGUGGGUAAAGAGAAAGCAGGGGCUGCCUCUGUCUGAAAGACCUGUGGAAGAAGUAAAGCCACACACCCCAUUGUACUAACGACAGCCUUUGCCAUGAGGACCUCAGCGGUAUAAGUUUCUUGCAGAUGUGACCAUUACCCUUAGUGUUGGAGAGAGCUAAGUUGGCCUGGGGUACCACAGGCCUUGGUUAUUCAGCAGUCAUUACCAAGGCCAUUUCCGUCUCGUAGAAACAUGGCUGGACAGAUUCCCAGCCUCCAUUUCAAUAAAGUGCAACUUUACUGCUGUAUUCUAACCUGUGGGACAUCUGUGGACCAUAACUUUCUAGGCCUGGCCAGGAAAUCACUCACCCGUCCCUGAGCCCCCCUCCUCCAUCUACCUGCAAGUGGAAUGCCAAUGUCCAGGGCAACUAUGGAGGAAGGUACAAGAAGAAGACCACAGAGCACGGGCAGCCUGGACUCCUGGAUGAAUCCUUCCAGUGAGUACUGUACUCUGAGAGUAAGACGUAAAAUUCAGCUGCUGAAGUGACUGUGCUAGUUCAUCACAGCGGCUAGCGGCACGGGUCAGUGUCUGCCUAGGUCCGAAAGUCAUGCUUGGGGUGCGGGAGUUCUCAGCAGCCUUUGAUGUUUCCCCUAAUUAGUUAAACCAGCCACUGUGGCUCUGGAACCAGUGUCUGCAAAUGAAUAAAUAAAUCAUGGGCAAAAAAACACUGGACAAACAACAAUCAGACCUGCCAGAAGUAUGUGCCCUGGAGGGCAGUGUUGGGCAAGAUGGUAGAGUAGCUCCUCCCCCGGGCUCCUUUGUGCAGAAACAGCCUGAAGCAGCCGGGGAUGUAUUCUCGGGAAGUGAGACCUCCAGCUCUUGGUGGCAGUUCACAAGAGGCCCGGAAAGAGAGUGGCCAGCCCAUCUCUACUGUCUAGUGGCUGAGCAGGGAGGAAGGAAACAGAGGGAGGCGACAGUGCCAGUAAUUAAUUUAGGAUCAGGGCAGUGCACACCCUGGGAUUGGAUGGCUGGGACAAGGGGGAGGGGCAUCUGCCACCUUCUCCAUCUUUCCAGGGAACUUGUAUCCAGGUGCAAAUUUUUGAACAAUAAAUAGCAUGGCUCAUAUAAUAUAGAAUGACUAUGUGCCAAAGAUCAUUAACUAAAUAAUGAGAGGCCCAGUAAGAUGCUGAGUGUGCUUAUGACUUUAUUUUGAAAAACAGGAGAUAUACAGUUGGCCACAAAGAACAUUCUGAAAUGAACUCACUGUUAGAUAGAAAACUGGAAGAGAUUGAAAACAAUAAACUAUAACCUCUUUUUAUUUAUUUUUAACCAGAUGAGAUCUACAUGCUGCAUAUAACUCAGGGUCUAAUUGUGCGUGGGGGGAGCUAAACACAGAUCCACUCACCAUGUCACUCAUGAAUGCCCACAGAUGUCUGUCAAACAGUACUCUCUUGUAAUGUGAGGGAACGUGAUGCUGCCUCUCAGCUUUAUUUCUAAGUUUUAAAAGAUUUUUUUGCUAAUAGUCCUCCUGUUUUUGGAUCAUAGAAAAUCUUCAUAGACCAUUCUCAGUCAUGGGAAAUGGCUGGUUUCAUUCUGUAUUAGUCUGAUUAUUUUCAAAAGUGGCUUUAAGUCACCAUAAAAUUACCCUUCAGCGUGCAGACUGGGAAACUCCCAAGGCCCAGACUUGACUUCUGUCUGGAAAUUUCGUUGAGGUGUCUGAGACUGGGCUUUACAGGUGCCAUUAUUUGAUCAUCUAAUCCCAAACCUAGAAGUCAAAUCCCUGAGUGCCCAACUGAUGCCACAGGCAAUGCCUAUUGAUAGGAACUUUACUGUCUAGAGGAUGGCCCGGUUCUAUGCCCUCUGGUCUCUGUAAACACUGAGCCCACAUGCUAACCAUGGUUCUCCCAAGCAUGGCUUCUCAUAACUUAAAGGCAGCCAGUCCUCAUGACUGUCCAGAUCAGGCCUUAGCUGCACAGGUGACUGGUGAAAGUCAAAUUCAGAACAAAUAGAAUGGAAUUUCCACUAAAGCUUUGCAAAUAACUGCACCAUUGUGCAAAGUGGAGCAUCUAUCUAAGUGAAAUCAUGAGCCUUCUUCGGGUUCUGCGGUGCUAGAGACUCAGGUACCAUCACAAGCCUUGUGGUUUAGGGUUCCAAGAUUGUACUUCUUCACACAUCCUCCUGAAAUAGGGUGUUGACAAAUACACAGAGCUACAGUUAGCUUUCUCCUGUGCAUAAGCUCUGUCCUCUAUGGUGACUUUUACCCCACUAAGCCAUGGAUAAGCCGCUGCUUCCAUGGAACUGUUUCAGGACUAGCAGUUCCCAACCUGUGGGUCACGACCAUUUGGGGGUCACAUGUCAGAUAUCCUGCAUAUCAGAUAUUUACAUUAUGAUUCAUAGCAGUAGCAAAAUUACAGUUAUGAAGUAGCAAUAAAUAAUGUUAUGGUUGGGGGUCACCACACCAUGAGCAACUGUAUUAAGGGCUGCAGCAUUAGGAAGGUUGAGAAACAUUGUCUAGACUAAAGAACUCCUCAAGUUCUGACCAGUCCCUGGCACAGUCUAAAUGAAGGCAGUCUUACUCUCUGAAGCUCGCACCAGGAAGGUGGGUGUGAAGCUUCAGUCAUCACUGGUACCCAGGGUCAUCCUUUUCUAGAAACUCAAGCCUGUGCUUCCUCCCUGAAGUUGCUGGAGGUCUGUGGAAUUCAUGAAAGCUCCGAGGACAGUGAAAUCAUCUAGAGGAAGCAGUGUAUGACUGUGGAUUUGCAGUGAAUAAUUGUUCUGGUUAGUUUUUUUUUUUUUUUAAUAAAUUUGACACAGCUGGGGGUUCUCAAACUGUGGGUCGAGACCCCCUUUGGAGUUGCAUAUCUGAUAUUCUGCAUAUCAGGUAUUGAUAUUAUGAUUCAUAACAGUAGCAAGAUUACAAUUAUGAAGUAGCAAUGAAAAUAAUUUUAUGGUUGGGGGUCACCACAACAUGAGGAACUGUAUUAAAGGGUCCCGGGAUUAAGAAGAUUGAGGAAUCACUGACCUGGAGUCAUCUGGGAAGAGAAACUUAAUUGAGAAAAUGUCUCCAUCAGAUUGGCCUCUAGGCAAUUCUGUGGGGCAUUUUCUUGAUAAAUUAUUGAUGUGGGAGGGAAUGCCAUCCUUGGACAGGUGGUCCUGGAUCGUAUAAGAAAGCAGGAUUAGCAAGCCAAGGAGUAAGCCACCGAGUAGCACUCUUCUGGCCUCUAUACCAAGGGUUCUCUUGAGUGUCCUUUUGGCUUCCCCUGAUGAUGGCCUGUAACCUGUAGGUUGAAUAAACC